rnacentral:lncRNA from 1 species
UCAUGAUUGAAAUGAUUUGAAUAAUUGGCUAGCUAUAAUUCAACAAUAUAAUUGUGAACUAGCAGGAACAAAAUUUUGACUGAACAAGUAUUUUACAUGAACAAUUAUAUCUGAACCGAAGGGUAAUGAAGGUGAUCAGCCUUUCAUACCUGACUUAUACAUGCAAUAUGUACAGAGUACAAUUAUACAUGGCAAUCAGCAAUGAUUAACCAUAAGCAUAUCCAAAUGAAACAACUCUUAGUAGAGUUAAG